UGAAAUGGGUGUAAUUGGGUACAAAUAUGCCAUUUCACAGUUUAGCCAGCAUUUGUUGUUCUGAACUGGUUCAUUGCUUUUGUCUACAAGACAAAGAUCAUGUCACCAUGACAACUUUAGACAACAGCUUGUGUUUACUUCAGCUGCAAAAGAGAGGACCUCGUAUGAGGAUUUGAACGAUGGCAGGACGCAGAUCUAGGAACAGUAUUUCUGUGAAGAUGUGCCCUCAGCAGAGAGCUCGACAUGAGGCCUACAGCGAGCCGUCUAAAGAAGCGCAGAGAUGGAUGGCAGUGGCAAGACAGCGUGUGUGUGCACAACUAAAUAAUCAACAAUCCCAGCAGGUCUGCAACUCCACCGCUGCUGCUGAGCGCCAAAAUCAGCUCACAGCACAAUUAAAGGCCUCUGAGGCCAGGAGUCGUAUCCGACAACAGAGACUUCGCUAUCAAGAGCUAAAGGCAGGGAACUUUUUUAAAUGAUACUUUAUUUUAAUAUAGGGUGUAGACAAACUCUUUAUUAUGGAAUCUUACACUGCAUAAUACAAACUUGAAAUUAAAAGUAGUUGCAGCUUUUUA